ensembl:lncRNA
GUUGUAUUCAGCAUUUCACUGUGAGGUCUACUACACCUGUUGUAUUCAGCAUUUCACUGUAAGGUCUACUACACCUGUUGUAUUCAGCAUUUCACUGUAAGGUCUACUACACCUGUUGUAUUCAGCAUUUCACUGUCAGGUCUACUACACCUGUUGUAUUCAGCAUUUCACUGUAAGGUCUACUACAUCUGUUGUAUUCAGCAUUUCACUGUGAGGUCUACUACACCUGUUGUAUUCAGCAUUUCACUGUAAGGUCUACUACACCUGUUGUAUUCAGCAUUUC